UUCUCCUCAAAACUUAAUAACCGCUUCUCAGAAUUACAAUAUUGAAAAUUGUUCAUGGCAGAACAGCCCUUUUUGCAUCAUUUUGUGGAGUCUUGAUAAUAGCAAUCCCUUGCUAUUGAAAGUUGUAACAUUCUUUUCAUUAACAUUGAAGUUCGAAUGCUUUCAAGUCCUUUUAAAUAAAAAAAUAGGAGGCUUGGGACAUUGUGAUAUAGGGCCUAUCCAGACAUUUUUAAACUGCUAGAAUAAGAAGUUAACAUUCACGAAUGUUUGUACUGAGAAAAAGGUACCGAGUUCGAUUUAUCUAAGCAGUGGUUCAUACACACCUCUAACACCACCCCAGGAGGAGCCAGACACUGCCAAAUUUUUUCCAAUAUACCCCCCCCCCCCCUCCUUACUUUCUCCUGCACGCAAGAGGUAUUCGCCAAAUGCCAGUUAGGUCGGAAGAGACAAAAUAGAAAGGCGUCUUUUUGCGCCUCUUGUUCAUCGAGCAAUGUUUCAGAAAAAAUGAGGACAUACAAGGCACUGUUUCCAACUAAAUCUUUUAUCCAAGAAAACCAAUAUACAGUAAACUACCACUUGAACGUCACUUAAGCAAAUUAUUCAGCUGUACGAACUUUUUUUGUAUCCCCCAUCGAAACCCCAUUCAACCCAAUGCAAAUGCCUUUCAGUUUAACAAAAUUCAGUACAGUGGCAUUUCAGUUCUGUGAUCAUAUUCUGCUACAUCAUCAUCAUCAUGAUUUUUAUUUUUACCACUGGAUACAAGGUGAAAAAGGGAGAGCCGGGAAAAAAGCCGAAAUCUCUUCGGCUUGACAAAGUUCCGGUCUCCCAGACAGGCACGGAAGCGGCUGGUGUAGCAAUACAAUUACGCAUAAAGUGUGGAAAUAAGAGUUUUUUAAACACAAAUACAUAUAGAAAUUUUCAUGUUAUUACAUGGAAACUAGUUGUAAUACAGUUGUGUCAAAUGACUCCCAGUAUACAAUUAUAAUCUGUUAUCUUGCAUAUUAUUAUUUAACACAGACUCAGUUGCAUAUAUCAUAGUGGACUUGGAAGCACCGAACGAGUACGGAUGCUGAUCAAAUUUUUUCUGAUCGCACAGAUCGUGCUGUCGAGGACCGGAUUCGUCGACGCAGGGUCUGAGCAUGCACUGCAUCAGGCCUAUCUACUGCUACCUCCGGCUGUCUGCCCUGCUGGCUUCAUCGGACAAAACAAGUCGCAGGAAGCUGUACCACGUGCACUGCACUGGGACCACCUGACCAGCACGGUGACGUCGACGGAGACAUCGUGGCACCCGGAUAAAAGCAGCAGCCUUUUCGACGUUCCCUUCAGUGGACUUGGAAGCACCGAACGAGCACGGAUGCUGAUCAAAUUUUUUCUGAUCGCACAGGCGAUCUUUGGAAACUUCAGUGAUACCUGACGACUGGCGAAGGGCCAAAGUAAUACCUGUGCACAAAUCUGGCUCUAAACUCGACAGUUCAUCACUUGUGCAUGUGCAACACAUUGGCGGAGGCAAUACGAACUGCAUUUCUUACUAGCUGGACAAGUCAGAAUGACAAUGCACCUUGGAGAACAAGACUCGAAUUGUGAAAGUCUGGUGGUUUCACAGAACUUUGUUUUAUGUCAAGAUGGGCUGACACCAUGUCACCUGAUGCUGUCACUCUCUGGUAAGCAUGUUAAAAAAAUAAAAACAAUCCAGUUUGAACAGUAA